UACAGAGGGGGCAAGCGUUAUUCGGAAUUAUUGGGCGUAAAGGGCGCGUAGGCGGCUUUUCAAGUGACGGGUGAAAUCCCUCGGCUUAACCGAGGAACUGCCUGUCAGACUGGAAGGCUUGAGACCGGGAGAGGUGAGUGGAAUUCCCAGUGUAGCGGUGAAAUGCGUAGAUAUUGGGAGGAACACCAGUGGCGAAGGCGACUUACUGGACGAUUGUUGACGCUGAGGUGCGAAAGCGUGGGGAGCAAACAGG
rnacentral:rRNA from 1 species